rnacentral:rRNA from 1 species
UACGAAGGGGGCUAGCGUUGUUCGGAUUUACUGGGCGUAAAGCGCACGUAGGCGGAUUGUUAAGUCAGGGGUGAAAUCCCAGAGCUCAACUCUGGAACUGCCUUUGAUACUGGCAAUCUCGAGUCCGGAAGAGGUGAGUGGAACUCCUAGUGUAGAGGUGGAAUUCGUAGAUAUUCGGAGGAACACCAGUGGCGAAGGCGGCUCACUGGUCCAUUACUGACGCUGAGGUGCGAAAGCGUGGGGAGCAAACAGG